CUUGUUUUCCGUGUCUAACGUUUGACUGUCCGUCUUAUUUAAAAAAAUUAUUAAAAAAAUUAAAAAGAUAAGUCACGUAUAAAAUAUUAAUCAUGUUUUAUCAUCUAACAAUAAUAAAAAUAUAAAUUAUAAACAAAAUUCAUAUAAGACGGACAGUUAAAGUUGGACACGAAAACCCAUAAUUUACCUUUUU
rfam:Oryza nivara chromosome 4, whole genome shotgun sequence.